UACGUAGGCAGCAAGCGUUGUUCGGAGUUACUGGGCGUAAAGGGUGCGUAGGCGGCUCUAUAAGUAUGGUGUGAAAUCUCCCGGCUUAACUGGGAGGGUGCGCUAUAGACUGUGGGGCUAGAGUGUGGGAGAGGAAAGUGGAAGUUCCUGGUGUAGCGGUGAAAUGACGUAGAUAUCAGGAGGAACACCGGUGGUGUAAACGGCUUCUGGACCAUAACUGACGCUGAGGCACGAAAGCGUGGGUAGCAAACAGG
rnacentral:rRNA from 1 species